AACGCGAAGAACCUUACCUGGGCUUGAACCGCACAGGACCCUCCCUAGAAAUAGGGACUUCCCGCAAGGGACCUGUGUAGAGGUGCUGCAUGGCUGUCGUCAGCUCGUGCCGUGAGGUGUUGGGUUAAGUCCCGCAACGAGCGCAACCCUUACUCAUAGUUGCUACCCGCAAGGGAGAACUCUAUGAGGACUGCUCCGGAUAACGGAGAGGAAGGUGGGGAUGAGGUCAAGUCAGCAUGGCCUUUAUGUCCAGGGCUACACACGUGUUACAAUGCACGGUACAAAGUGUCGCGAACCCGCGAGGGGGAGCUAAUCGCAAAAAGCCGUGCUCAGUUCGGAUUGCAGUCUGCAACUCGACUGCAUGAAGCCGGAAUCGCUAGUAAUGGCGUAUCAGAUCGACGCCGUGAAUACGUUCCCGGGCCUUGUA
rnacentral:rRNA from 1 species